rnacentral:rRNA from 1 species
AUUGAACGCUGGCGGCAGGCCUAACACAUGCAAGUCGAGCGGAUGAAGGGAGCUUGCUCCUGGAUUCAGCGGCGGACGGGUGAGUAAUGCCUAGGAAUCUGCCUGGUAGUGGGGGAUAACGUCCGGAAACGGGCGCUAAUACCGCAUACGUCCUGAGGGAGAAAGUGGGGGAUCUUCGGACCUCACGCUAUCAGAUGAGCCUAGGUCGGAUUAGCUAGUUGGUGGGGUAAAGGCCUACCAAGGCGACGAUCCGUAACUGGUCUGAGAGGAUGAUCAGUCACACUGGAACUGAGACACGGUCCAGACUCCUACGGGAGGCAGCAGUGGGGAAUAUUGGACAAUGGGCGAAAGCCUGAUCCAACCAUGCCGCGUGUGUGAAGAAGGUCUUCGGAUUCUAAAGCACUUUAAGUUGGGAGGAAGGGCAGUAAGUUAAUACCUUGCUGUUUUGACGUUACCAACAGAAUAAGCACCGGCUAACUUCGUG